rnacentral:lncRNA from 1 species
CUGAGUGUUUGCAGCACAGCUGUGUGUUACUGAGCGUUGUACUGCAUGUGUGUGUGUGUGUGUGUGUGUUAGCGUGGACUACCGUGUGCAGUACUAUGAGUUCACGGGUGUGAGCAGCUGCUGGGACGUGGUGAAUCUGUACCGUCUGCUGUGGGCCUGUGUGACGCUCAAUGUGCUCGGCGUGUUUCUGGGCAUCAUCACCGCUGCCGUACUGGGAGCCUUCAAAGACCUGGCUCCUGCGGCUCGCAGUCACAUGACACCCAGUCCGGCUCCGCCCCCUCACAUCCUGUACAACCCCACCCAACACCUGAUCACCUACACCGGCUUCUGCCCCUCCGGACAAACUCUACCCGCCUACCCAAACUACGCGCUGCCCAUGCAGCAUCUGAGCGGUUAUCCAGCUUCGGCUGCAGGUCAGUCCGUCCCCGAGGUCACGACCUCCCCGUCUGACGAGACUCAAGCAGCGUCUCAGAGCGGGACGAAUCCAGUCGUACCGUCUCAAUCCACAUCUCAGGACAGCAGCGGCUACAUGCCGACUCCAAACGCGCCCUCGCUCUACGCUCACUCGUUAGGGCCCUUCGAGAAGCCUCCACCUUACGCCUGCUGAAAGCGCCACCUGAGCCAGGAACCCUGACCUCUGACAGGCGUCUGACCCCUGUGACCUCCACCGCCGCCGCCGCUGCUG